AAUAAAUGUGGGGUUUUCCAUACAUUCGCUAAGUAACCGAACUGCUGUUGUCCAAAUAGAAAAACGUAUAAUUGUUUCGUGAUCCAUCUGGGUUUUCAUUAUCAACCCUAUACAGAGCUCUCUAGUGGCUGGUGCCUCAGCGCCGUUCAUCCCCCUCCCAGGCCAUGCAUGUGUGACGCUGAUUAGAGCCCUGACGGAAACCUCAGCCACUCGUCUGCGAAAUGAGAAGAGGUGAUUCCACGCUCUGUAAAAUCUACAAGCCCUCUGUGUCUGAUAGGGUGCUGUUAUACACAGGUUGGGCUGCGUUCAUCCCUUUCUAAGGAGAGUGAGAAUGGGGAGUUCUCCUCCCACUCCCCUCACACAGGAGAUGGCCACUCUCUUUGAUAUGAUGCCCGAAUCCUUUCCUUUCCCCCCCUGAAGAAACUGGCCCGCAGAUGUUGCUACGCCGACUACAAAGAAGAAGCUCUUUAUGAGGAGAACGUCUAUUUUGGUCCCUGUGUGUUUCUGUUUCCGAGAUGUGGUGCUUUGAGAGGUAGAGACCUGAUCUUUUAGCUCAAGACUUGUUUUAUUCCUUGCCGAGAUAUUUUUUUUUAUUAAA